AAAAUACGAAGCUAGAUCGAGGAAAGGAAAAAGUUCGGGAUUAGUAGAUUUUUACUGUUUACAAACAAGUAUCAAGUGUUAAGAGCUCGGAGGUCGGAUUUGGUCGGAGACACAUCACACUGUCAACCUCAGGAUUUCGGUAUAUAAAGAAACUUUAUUUUGGAAAUCAAUGGCAUGUAUAAGCUAACAAAGUAAAUGUUAACGUGAAAUGAAUGUAAAGUUUGCCAUUAGUAUGGUUAACAAACCUGGUUAUAGAUAUGUGAUGACGUUAUCUUAUAUAAAUGCAUGGAUCUAUCAUGAAAA